rnacentral:lncRNA from 1 species
GCCAGGCGACCGCCGCUGGACCUGCCGCAGCUGCAAGAAGACGCUCCCCUCAAACCUCCCAGGGAAACGCAGGCUGUGGACACCUCGAUUUCAGCCUAGUGAGCCCCAGGGCUGGGCUCCUGACCCACAGAACCGUGAGACGAGAAAGGCGUGCUGUCUGAGCCACUGCAUUUGUGGUUGCUUGCUCGGUGGCAGCGGGGGACCAGCACAACCUCACGCUGCCUGCUCUGUGCCGGAUUCCCCAGCGUCCCUGCAUGGUGUAGAUUCCCAGGCCCGCCUGGCUGUGGCCCUUCCCCUUCACCUGACUGUGUGGCCCCUCUGAGCCUCACCUCCUCACUGGUGGAACAGGAAGGUGAGGGUGUCUCCCCCUGGGGCUGAUGUGGGGCUGACACAUGGGUCAGAUAAGGUCCCACGUGAUCAGCUCCUCCCGUGGGACGGCCGUGGAGAGGGGCAGGCGUUGCUAUGGGAACUGGGCUGAGGUCCUUGCAGCAACCUUGAUCUACGGGUUUCAGGCCUGGGCAGGGGCGCAGAUGCUGGAUGCAGGUCCCUGCAGGGCCCUCGGCUUCGCCUCCUCUUACCUCAGUUUCCCCAUCUCUGCAAUGGCAGCACUUGGGCCAUUGUCAAGUCACCAAAGCCACCUGCAGGCGGGCUCCAGAGACGUGCUUCCCUCUCAGACCCCACUCCAGCCCUGACAGGAUACUGAUGGCGCCCAGCCAGAGGCUGGAAUGCUUCCUGCGUGGGGAAAUGUUGGGUUAAAUAUUGGGAUAUAUUGGGU